CCUACGGUGGCUGCAGUGGGGAAUAUUUGACAAUGGGCGAAAGCCUGAUCCAGCCAUGCCGCGUGUGUGAAGAAGGCCUUCGGGUUGUAAAGCACUUUCAGUGGGGAAGAAAGCCUUGGGGCUAAUACCCUCGAGGAAGGACAUCACCCACAGAAGAAGCACCGGCUAACUCCGUGCCAGCAGCCGCGGUAAUACGGAGGGUGCGAGCGUUAAUCGGAAUUACUGGGCGUAAAGCGCGCGUAGGCGGUCUGAUAAGCCGGUUGUGAAAGCCCCGGGCUCAACCUGGGAACGGCAUCCGGAACUGUCAGGCUAGAGUGCAGGAGAGGAAGGUAGAAUUCCCGGUGUAGCGGUGAAAUGCGUAGAGAUCGGGAGGAAUACCAGUGGCGAAGGCGGCCUUCUGGACUGACACUGACGCUGAGGUGCGAAAGCGUGGGUAGCAAACAGGAUUAGAUACCCUUGUAGUC
rnacentral:rRNA from 1 species